rnacentral:sRNA from 1 species
UCUUGUGUCAAAGCCGCUUUUUCGAAGUG